UACGGGGGGAGCAAGCGUUGUUCGGAUUUACUGGGCGUAAAGGGCGCGUAGGCGGCGCAACAAGUCACUUGUGAAAUCUCCGGGCUUAACCCGGAGCGGUCAAGUGAUACUGUCGUGCUAGAGUGCGGAAGGGGCUACUGGAAUUCUCGGUGUAGCGGUGAAAUGCGGAUAGAUAUCGGGGAAGAACACCCGUGGCGAAGGCGGCUCUCUGGGACGGUACCGACGGCUGAGACGCGAA
rnacentral:rRNA from 1 species